GAUGAACGCUGGCGGCGUGCCUAAUACAUGCAAGUCGAGCGAACAGACGAGGAGCUUGCUCCUCUGACGUUAGCGGCGGACGGGUGAGUAACACGUGGAUAACCUACCUAUAAGACUGGGAUAACUUCGGGAAACGGGAGCUAAUACCGGAUAAUAUAUUGAACCGCAUGGUUGAAUAGUGAAAGACGGCUUUGCGGUCACUUAUAGAUGGAUCCGCGCCGCAUUAGCUAGUUGGUAAGGUAACGGCUUACCAAGGCAACGAUGCGUAGCCGACCUGAGAGGGUGGUCGGCCACACUGGAACUGAGACACGGUCCAGACUCCUACGGGACGCAGCAGUAGGGAAUCUUCCGCAAUGGGCGAAAGCCUGACGGAGCAACGCCGCGUGAGUGAUGAAGGUCUUCGGAUCGUAAAACUCUGUUAUUAGGGAAGAACAAAUGUGUAAGUAACUAUGCACGUCUUGACGGUACCUAAUCAGAAAGCCACGGCUAACUACGUG
rnacentral:rRNA from 1 species